AGACGGAGGGUGCAAGCGUUGCUCGGAAUCACUGGGCGUAAAGCGCGUGUAGGCGGUUCGGUAAGUCGAGUGUGAAAGCCCGGGGCUCAACCUCGGAAGUGCACUCGAAACUGUCGAACUUGAGUACGGGAGAGGGAAGUGGAAUUCCUGGUGUAGAGGUGAAAUUCGUAGAUAUCAGGAGGAACACCGGUGGCGAAGGCGGCUUCCUGGACCGAUACUGACGCUGAGACGCGAAAGCGUGGGGAGCAAACAGGAUUAGAUACCCUGGUAGUCCACGCCGUAAACUGUGAGCACUAGGUGUAGCGGGUAUUGACCCCUGCUGUGCCGACGCUAACGCAUUAAGUGCCCCGCCUGGGGAGUACGGCCGCAAGGUUAAA
rnacentral:rRNA from 1 species